GCAUACACCGCAGUCCCUAAUGUGGAUCAGAACACACAACCAGCCAACAAAAGCACACCUGGCGCUGAGAGGAUUGAUGGGGAAAACACGGACGAGGAGGAAAAGAUUGUCAGUAUUAACCUUGACGUAUCUGCAGUUUCAGUUGUUGUUUGUUUCCCUCGAUAGUUAAAUAAGUUCAGUUGGAUGUGUUGUUCUGAAUGUCAACUGAAUGCCAGAAGCGAGCUGCGUUCUAUCGAAAAAGGGUUGCCCCCCACUUUAUAUUAUAAAGCAACGACCACACGAUACAAAUGCUGGGGCCACAGCACAAGCAAGCCCAAAAUAAACAAAAAAAGGAACUGAAGAGAAAAUAAUGCCAACACCGGCGGAUCAACGAAAACGAUGAGGACCCGCAACCGCCGCGCCCACCGAAAAAUACCACCACGCUCCUAGCAUUCCGGACCGCCGCAUACCAAACAACACCCUCAAGAAGGAUUGCGACGAUGACGACGCUGUUGCCCGGACAUGUCCUAGGGUUUUCCCCGGUACGCGAGGGGUGAGGUGGAAGGGGUAUGCCCGACGCCCUUCAGGAAGGCACGACGGCGCCCACGAGCGUCACCGCGUCGGUGCCGGCCCGGCCGACAAGGAUUUCUCCCGCCCACCAACCAACCACGACCCCAGACGAUCCAUCCCGCGCCACCAAACACACCGCCCACCAACUUGCGCCACCACGGUCGAGCAGUCUCCAUCGCCGUCUCACCAUGGCAAAUGAAACGGGACCGACGGAAACAAGACGACGCAACCGGGAACCAGGAGCGGCAACAUCAGCAGCCUCGCGGGAGGGGACAUCCUCCACCGCCCCCGGCGGGAUUCGGCCGGACGCAGCACAGGGGCAAACCGGGCCACCCCUGGCCCAGCCGAGCCCGAAACGGGCUCGCGAAGCCCCCGUCGCCGCGCUGCAGAACGCGAGCCGCCGUCGCCACCACCACCCGCACGAGUCACGCCCCCGACCCGCCGGAGACGCCGCAAGCAGACCAGGCCAGGCCCGCCCAGACCCAGAUCGAGCCCAAAAGGGCCUGGAUCUGGGCCGGGAAGGCCCGCCGCUAGCCACUGCGUCGCCCCGCCGCCAAGCGGCCGCGCCACCGCCCGCACACCACCCAGCACUGCGCCGCCGAGGGAGCUGCGCCGCCGCCGGAUCCAAUGUCGCCGAGGAGCACCCCCAUCGGCCGCCGUCCGCCCGAGCCGAGGCGCCAAGCGGGGGGGAAAGGCCGGGGCCGCCGCCGCCGGCACCACGCGGGCAAGGCCCGGUGGCCCAGGCCGACGGCGGCGGAAGGGGAGGAGGGGGAGGGGGGGGCUGGGAGGGGGCGACGAGAUCCCCCGGUCGCCCCGCUCGGGGAGGCGACGCGGGGGGAGGAGGGGGAGCUUCUUGUGACCUCUGUUCUGAAAUUACGCAAUCCAGCGAGCUGCGUUCUCGCUGCGGCCUUGUCUUUUUUAGCUCAAGUUAGUUAGCUUUAGACUCGGCACGAUUCAGGCUCGUAGGAUGGCACAUGCAAUUGUUGGAUCGUGGC
rnacentral:lncRNA from 1 species